GAUGAACGCUGGCGGUAUGCUUAACACAUGCAAGUCGAACGGACUCUUCGGAGUUAGUGGCGGACGGGUGCGUAACGCGUGAGAAUCUGGCUUUGGGUUCGGGACAACCACUGGAAACGGUGGCUAAUACCGGAUGUGCCGAGAGGUAAAAGAGAAAUUGCCUGAAGAUGAGCUCGCGUCUGAUUAGCUAGUUGGUGAGGUAAAGGCUCACCAAGGCAGCGAUCAGUAGCUGGUCUGAGAGGAUGACCAGCCACACUGGGACUGAGACACGGCCCAGACUCCUACGGGAGGCAGCAGUGGGGAAUUUUCCGCAAUGGGCGAAAGCCUGACGGAGCAAUACCGCGUGAGGGAAGAAGGCUCUUGGGUUGUAAACCUCUUUUCUUAGGGAAGAACAAAAUGACGGUACCUAAGGAAUCAGCAUCGGCUAACUCCGUG
rnacentral:rRNA from 1 species